CAGCCGCCGCGGGAAUACGGAGGAUCCAAGCGUUAUCCGGAAUCAUUGGGUUUAAAGGGUCCGUAGGCGGUCUUGUAAGUCAGUGGUGAAAGCCCAUCGCUCAACGGUGGAACGGCCAUUGAUACUGCAGGACUUGAAUUAUUGGGAAGUAACUAGAAUAUGUAGUGUAGCGGUGAAAUGCUUAGAGAUUACAUGGAAUACCAAUUGCGAAGGCAGGUUACUACCAAUUGAUUGACGCUGAUGGACGAAAGCGUGGGUAGCGAACAGGAUUAGAUACCCCAGUAGUCCCUGUCUCUUAUAA
rnacentral:rRNA from 1 species